rnacentral:rRNA from 1 species
UGGCGGACGGGUGAGUAACGCGUGGGUAACCUGCCUCACACAGGGGGAUAACAGUUGGAAACGACCGCUAAUACCGCAUAAGCCAACGGGGGCGCAUGCUCUGGUUGGAAAAGAUUUAUCGGUGUGAGAUGGACCCGCGUCUGAUUAGCCAGUUGGCAGGGUAACGGCCUACCAAAGCGACGAUCAGUAGCCGGCCUGAGAGGGCGGACGGCCACACUGGGACUGAGACACGGCCCAGACUCCUACGGGAGGCAGCAG